rnacentral:lncRNA from 10 species
GACACGCACUUCCGGCAGCGCCGCGGCCGGGAGGGACCGAGCGGGGAGCAAGGCCUGCGGGGAGGCGCAGGAUGGACGCGUUGGCUGUCAUGAUGUAGGACCUCCUGACCUAGAACCAUGCCCGGCGCAGGGAGAACAACGAGCUUACGGACCGGGUGCGGGGGCUGCUGUGCGAGAAAGCCUACCUGCUGGCCCGGGAGCGUUCGCCGGCCCACCUGGUGGCUUUCCCUGGACGUUUAACGGCGACUCCGCCCGGCCUCCCGACUUUUUGAUGCAGGCGUUCUCUUACAUGACUUUCUUCGAGGCUAGAUUCUCGAAAGACAUCCUGAAGGUGGCUUUCUUAAUUAGCUGCCUCACCGGCUGGCGGAGCAGUUCGUAGUCGCCUACAUCGAGAGGGAGAGCCCCGUCCUGGCUCAGUACUGGGGCUUCGUGGACGCGCUGUAGCGGGUCUUCGCCGUCGUGGGUAGGAAACAGUCGGGCCGGAUCCCCGGUGUCUGGGGAGCGGCUGCCGGCCGGGCCCGCGCGAGCCGCUUCACUCCUACAAGCCCGGCUCACUAGUUCCAAGCUGCUGGACUUUGACCCUCGCUGGGAAGCUUGAUCGCCGCCUGUUCUCGCCAAUCUCUAUGCCUUUGCACUGCCCAGCAACCCGGUCACUGCCCAGGACCUGUUAAAAGUUGAAUGGACCUCCCAGAAUCACGCCGCUGCCACCGCCGUUUCUAGAGACGGCUUUUGGCCACCUUUGAGAAUCAGGGUCAAACUUGGAAGGGCCUGCAUUUGUCACACUUCCUCGGACACUAAUUUGGAUAGUUCAGGCCCAGAGACGGCUUCCCGGGUUAGUGUGCCUGACAACACUGAAGAAAAAUUGUGACAUUUUCCUUCCCCAGAAUUACUUCGUUUUAUACAUUUCACUUCUCUUCUGAAAUCACAGCAAUGCCAGUUUGCGCCUUUUGGUCUGAGGAACGCAGGCCCUGGCCACUACCAGGAAAAAGUAUUUACUUUUAAAACUUGAAUGUAUAUCUUUACCGUAUGCCUAGUACAGUAGUGCUUGGAAGAAACAGAUUAGUAAGACAAAAUAUAUGUCUUCAAGAACACUUACGUUCUGAGAAAGAAUUCUGAAUGCAGAUUCUAAUGUCUGGUAAAAUGCUUUACAGUGUAAAGAAUGCAUAUAUGAUUCUUAUUUUAUGGCAUUUUAAACUUUCCACCCCACGGUUUUAAAGUGUUAAUAUAUGUUAAAAAUAUAUGCAAUUUAUAAAGGAGAAGGAAAGCCCAGCUUGAUUUUUGCUGCCAAAGAUGGUAUAUUUAAAAUUAAACGUAACUAAUGGCAAAAAAUAAUGGGAAUGGUGCAGUCUUUGAGCUGUAUCCAGUUGGCAUUAUUCUCUUGGACUAAAAGGAAUAGUAUUAACUUCCUCACUUUGGGUAAGCCACUUUAGAUUUUUGGGCUGCAGUUUUCUCAGGUAAUUAGAGACUUUAUAUUAUGAAAGUUUGGUUCACAAUUCUUUGAGUCUCUUUUGGGAACAAAGAAGGUAAGAGGAGGAUAUGUGCCCUCCUCUCAAUCAAGGGGUUUCUUGAAACCCUCUAAGGAGAAAAAUCUGAAACUGCCUUUCCUAAAACGUUCAUGGGUUUGUCAUUCUGAUGAUCAAUAUCGUCCCACUGAAGUAUCUUUUUGAAUUCCUAGUUAGGAAUCUUUAUGUUAAGAUAAACUGAUCACUCUCUCCUUCGUGGACAGUUUAUCUACCUAAAGAUGAUAGGGGAAAACACUGUUUUUGAAAGACGAAAUAAAGACAUGUUGUAGCAGUUAUUUUAUUGCCAGUUAGUAUUACAAAAGUUCCUAAGGAACUCCCCAUUAACUUGGCCUCAUAUGAACUACGCUUGAGUCCCGUUUUAAAUUGAGUCUUGAUCGUAUUUACUGACAGUUUCAAAGCAGCGUUUUUUUUUUUCCUCCAUAGUAAAAAACCUACAGGAUACCACCACCAAAGGAAAAAACAAGUUUUUUUCAGUAAACCUCACAAGAGCAUACAUUUGAUAGAAUACACGGAUUUUCUAAUGAAAGCUCGCCGUCACCAUUUUAUAAGUCAGAACAUGAAAGUCAAAAUAUCUCAUACAGAUGUCUUUUUUUUUUGAGAAGGUACACAAGGCUUGCUUGUAGAGAUGGAGUUACAUGGAGGGACAGAAGGUCACUGGUCAGUGAUUUUAGGUUUUUAUACUUCUGAAAACAGGUAAUUACAGAUUCUGAUCAGUUUAUCAUUUUCUUUAGUCUUUUAUUUUCUGCUGAAUGCUCUCAAGGGAACGGAUCCAUACCUGUUUAUCAGGCUCACCUGGAAGAGCCAAGUCAUCCACUCAGGUCUUCCUCUGGACCUGCAUAAUUUCCUCAUUUACUAGAUUGGGUUUCUUUUAUGUGUGGGCUUUUAAUGCUUGGUAUCUCUGGUCUUCCUAAUAUGUAAUGCUUAGCAUAAUAAUUUUAGCCAUUAUUCAUUUUUGUAGUAGGCUUCACUAGCUUCCUGCUUCUCAAAUCCCUUGAAAAGAUGAGAUUUUUUUUUCGUG